rnacentral:lncRNA from 1 species
UACGAGGUACGGACAUCCUUCAGCAGUUUGUGGACAAGCAGCAGUUGCCCAAAGAAAUGGAUGGAGACUUUAACCACUCACAUGAUGACUGGCUCGCUUUUAGACUGAGUUUGGAGCAGCUGACUGAGCGCUGUGAGAGCGCCCUCACCCUGCUGGGAGACGCACUGCAGUCUAUGGACACAGAACCACUACCUGACUGCAUUAAGAAUGUUGCCCUCAGCGUCGACAAACACAGACAGUUAAUGACAGGCAUCCUCACUGACCAACGGCUGACAGAGCUGCAGCAGAGGGGCGGGACUUGGCUGGCAGGUCUGGCCAAUGGGACUCCAGGGCUGGCACAGAAAUCACC